rnacentral:rRNA from 1 species
UACGUAGGGUGCGAGCGUUAAUCGGAAUUACUGGGCGUAAAGCGUGCGCAGGCGGUUUUGUAAGCCAGGUGUGAAAUCCCCGGGCUCAACCUGGGAAUGGCAUUUGGGACUGCAAGGCUGGAGUGCGGCAGGGGAGACUGGAAUUCCUGGUGUAGCGGUGAAAUGCGCAGAGUAUCAAGGAGGAACACCGGUGGCGAAGGGCGGGGA